rnacentral:sRNA from 1 species
GAGCAGGCUUGGCGUUGAUUUGCCUCUGUGAGUGGGGAGAGCAGGGCUUUGUAUUUUCACGCUGAAAAUCACUGUCUCUCCUGGAAGAAGGAGAAACAGGUAGCCGUUGAGAGUAACGAGAUGUCAGUGUAUUCGGAACAGAACUGCUCAGUCUUCAAUUUUGGCCUUAUCUUGUCAAGGUCCUGUAGCCCAAUCCCAAAUUUCCAAGCUCUCUGGCCUGGUAUCAGUCUUGUCCUUGGUGGUGCAGGAGGCAGGGUACGGCAAAAGACAGACGGGCCCGAGCCCGCCGCCCGCUGCAGCUGCCAGGCGAUCGGAUGGGGAGGAUGGAAGCUUCGACCAGGAUAGCAGGAAGCAGAAGAGCAGCUGGCUGAUGCUCAAGGGGGAUGCAGACACAAGGACCAACUCUCCAGACCUGGACACCCAGUCCUUGUCCCACAGCAGCGGGACCGACAGAGACCCUCUCCAAAGGAUGGCAAGGGACAGCUUUCACUCACGUGAGUGGUUCUUUUGAAGAAGGAGCUGUGAUGUCCACAAAAAGCCUCGCAGCAAAGGGGCCCCAUAACUCAGAGCCAUCCCCCCAAAUCUAAGCCUUGCCUGUUAAAAAGCAUAAAAGCAAAGCCCACAAAUCUAGGGACCGACCGGAAGGAAAUAUGGGGCUUUUGCAGUUUGCCGGCUUCCCAAGAACUGUCCCUGGAACCAGUGUGCUAACGAGGGCCACGCCUGCAUGUCCCCUCACAGAUCUCCAGGGCCUGCAAGAAUGCAGAAACCCAGAUCUGCUCCUGGGCCGUUUAGGAGAAAGGCGUCCGGGCUGCCAGGUGGAAGUCAGGGCCUGUUCCCUCCAGAGCAGACAUGGGCAUGGUCCGGCUGAUGAGUGCAGACUUGGAGUUGGUAACGGGCACCAUCCCUGUCCCCUGUGACUCAUCCUGAACGAGGCAUGGCCUCAGGCUUCAUAGAGAGACAGUGAUGGCAUCUGCCUGACCCUACGGGUGUUUUGAAGACUGAAUCAGGAGUGAUUUUCAAAUGUAGAGAAAACUCCAGAUAAUGCUGUUUGCUUCCAGCCGCUGUAAAUCAUAGGUGAAAACCAGUAGCAAGCGCUCACUCAGUGCCUCCCAGAUGCAGCGUGCGGGUCUCAGCUGGGCUGGGGGCAGUUUUCAAUGGGCAAGGCUUGG